rnacentral:lncRNA from 1 species
GAAGCCAGUUGAGUUGUUCCUCACGCUUUCCCCACGAAGCUGCAUCUGAAGGACUUCCUCACCCCCCCGCUGUGAUCACAAGUUAUGCCUCACAGAUUCAUUUCCUUAUGAAUGACUUCAGGAAGCCAGCAUUUUUAAUAAAUAGGAAGUAAAUUAUAUUUAAUGACUAAAUUCUCACCUAAAGUUGAUACUAAUAUUACAAUAACUCUCUUGUGCCCUAUUUUGGUGUUUUAAACUUCUUUGCUGUACAUUUAAGAAAAUCAGAAUUUCAGUAGACUCCUCGUGCAGUCUGAGGAGGCAGUUUCCUAUCUGGUUUGACUUAAGGGGCUGCAGAAGACAUUCUUAUCCCACAUAUUUCUUCUGCUGAUCAGUCAGCAACUGAAAUUCCAACUAAUGGAUUCCAUUCUUCCAGUUAAGACAUCAUCUCCAGAAAACUGUGCUAGUUGGCAUCCAGCAGUGCCCAAGUAUUAUUUAACCCACUAGAACCUGUGACUGCAUCAGCUUUAUAUCCUGGACCUCAGCCUGGAACAAAGGAGAGCUACACUUGGAUACUAAACACAAGUGGUCUGGAUAGAUUAUGCUGGGAAAAGAAGCCUGGAGCAGGCAGUACAGUGGGAGAACAAGUUCAACCAAUCUACAAAGGCCAAAAAUAUUUUCACAGGCCCCCAAAAGAUGAACUCCAAUCUGCUGCCCCUAAACGCAUUCUCCACUGUCUGGAAGAUGUGCAAAGGCAACGGCACAGCGUUCUCCAUCUCAAAUCCUUCAAAGUGCUGUCAGAAUAAAAGAAUCCCCACCAAAAGCCCCAGGGAAAUCUAUCUGUCUGUAUGGUAUGGUAAUGACUGAGGUUAUUCCAGAUAGGAUUCUGGGAGAAACUCAGCUAUUGAAAUCUAAUGAAUGGAACUGAGAAUUUCUUGUUAUAAUACUGUUUGUUUGAUUGAAUAUAUCCUUGCAUAUAGGAAGACAUAAAAAUAAAUAAUAAAAGCAAGAUAUUAUUUGAAUUUUUGUUUGAUUAUAUAAUCUGAGAAUUUUUCUGGUAAGUAAUUUUGCAUCUGGAUUUAUUUUUUCUGCCAGUCACUUGCCUUUCUAGUUUUAUGUCAUUUUUAUCUCUUUCCUAUUUUAAUGUCAGCACCUAGGUUUACAUUAAGGAUUGUAUUUUUUUAAUCACCAGGGAUUACAACAAUUUAUGUUCCUUUUCUAGCUGC